UACAGAGGUCUCAAGCGUUGUUCGGAUUCAUUGGGCGUAAAGGGUGCGUAGGCGGCGCGGUAAGUCGGGUGUGAAAUCUCGGAGCUUAACUCCGAAACUGCAUUCGAUACUGCCGUGCUUGAGGACUGGAAAGGAGACUGGAAUUUACGGUGUAGCGGUGAAAUGCGUAGAUAUCGUAAGGAAGACCAGUGGCGAAGGCGGGUCUCUGGACAGUUCCUGACGCUGAGGCACGAAGGUCAGGGGAGCAAACGGG
rnacentral:rRNA from 1 species